UACAGAGGUCUCAAGCGUUGUUCGGAAUCACUGGGCGUAAAGGGCGUGUAGGCGGUCAAGUAAGUGGAAUGUGAAAUGCCCCGGCUCACCCGGGGACCUGCAUCCCAAACUGCUUGGCUUGAGUAUGGGAGAGGAUGAGGGAAUUCCUGGUGUAGCGGUGAAAUGCGUAGAUAUCAGGAGGAACACCGGUGGCGAAAGCGCUCAUCUGGCCCAAUACUGACGCUGAGGCGCGAAAGCUAGGGGAGCAAACGGG
rnacentral:rRNA from 1 species